UACGUAGGGUGCGAGCGUUGUUCGGAAUUACUGGGCGUAAAGGGCUCGUAGGCGGCCAACUAAGUCGGAUGUGAAAUCCCCAGGCUUAACCUGGGAACUGCAUCCGAUACUGGAUGGCUUGAAUCCGGGAGAGGGAUGCGGAAUUCCAGGUGUAGCGGUGAAAUGCGUAGAUAUCUGGAGGAACACCGGUGGCGAAGGCGGCAUCCUGGACCGGCAUUGACGCUGAGGAGCGAAAGCCAGGGGAGCAAACGGG
rnacentral:rRNA from 1 species